rnacentral:rRNA from 1 species
CCUACGGGGGGCUGCAGUGGGGAAUUUUGGACAAUGGGCGCAAGCCUGAUCCAGCCAUGCCGCGUGUGUGAAGAAGGCCUUCGGGUUGUAAAGGACUUUUGUCAGGGAGCAAAACUUACUGGUUAAUACCUGGUGAGGUUGAGAGUACCUGAAGAAUAAGCACCGGCUAACUACGUGCCAGCAGCCGCGGUAAUACGUAGGGUGCAAGCGUUAAUCGGAAUUACUGGGCGUAAAGCGUGCGCAGGCGGACUUUUAAGCCAGAUGUGAAAGCCCCGAGCUUAACUUGGGAAUUGCGUUUGGAACUGGGAGUCUAGAGUCUGUCAGAGGGGGAUGGAAUUCCACGUGUAGCAGUGAAAUGCGUAGAGAUGUGGAGGAACACCGAUGGCGAAGGCAGUCCCCUGGGAUAAGACUGACGCUCAUGCACGAAAGCGUGGGGAGCAAACAGGAUUAGAUACCCCGGUAGUC